AUACGGAGGAUCCGAGCGUUAUCCGGAUUUAUUGGGUUUAAAGGGUGCGUAGGCGGACGAUUAAGUCAGCUGUGAAAUGCCCGCGCUUAACGCGGGAAGUGCAGUUGAUACUGGUUGUCUGGAGUGCCGUUGCCGUGGGGGGAAUGUGUAGUGUAGCGGUGAAAUGCAUAGAUAUUACACAGAACGCCGAUUGUAAAGACACCCCCGGAAGUGGAAACGGCCUCGUAGUCACGAAAGCGUGGGGAUCGAAAAGUAUGAGACGCCCGGGUUGCCCACGCAGAAGAGGAUGAUCGCUAGCCUGGGCCGAUAGUCCGCCGGUGGCCAAGCGAAAGCGAUAAGUCAUCCGCCUGGGGAGUACGACCGCAAGGUUGAAACUCAAAUGAAUUGACGGGG
rnacentral:rRNA from 1 species